rnacentral:tRNA from 1 species
AAAGAAAUAAAUAAAGGAAACUUCUAAUUUCCUAAAAAGCUAUUAUAGUUUAU